UCCGUAGGUGAACCUGCGGAAGGAUCAUUACCACACCUAAAAAACUUUCCACGUGAACCGUUCUAAAUAUGUUCUGUGCUUCGUCGACGUGUGCUGCUAUCCUUUGGAAAGUGGCGUAACGGAGGCUUGAGGCUGAACGAAGGUUGGCUCAGUACUCGUGUAGCUCUCGGGCUGCGCGGUGGAACGGCUUACCGAUGUCUUUUUCAAACCCAUUUACUAAAUACUGAUCUAUACUCCGAGGACGAAAGUCUUUGGUUUUAAUCCAUUAACAACUUUCAGCAGUGGAUGUYUAGGCUCGCACAUCGAUGAAGAACGCUGCGAACUGCGAUACGUAAUGCGAAUUGCAGGAUUCAGUGAGUCAUCGAAAUUUUGAACGCAUAUUGCACUUUCGGGUUAUGCCUGGAAGUAUGCCUGUAUCAGUGUCCGUACAUCAAACUUGCCUUUCUUUUUCUGKGUAGUCAGGAAUUGAGAUGGCAGAAUGUGAGGUGUCUCGAGCCGUYCCCYUUUUGGGAGAUAGCACGAGUCCCUUUAAAUGUACGUUGAUCUCUCUUGUGUCUUAGUAGAAGUGUAAUGCUCGAACGCAGUGAUCUGUUCAGAUCGCUUUGCGCUGGUGGGCGACUUCGGAGAGGACAUUAAGGAGGCGACCUCUAUUGGCGGUAUGUUAGGCUUCGGCCCGACGUUGCAGCUGACGGGGUGUUGUUUUCCGUUCUUUCCUUGAGGUGUACCUGUCGUGUGUGAGGUUGAACUGGGCGCCGGUUAUUGUGUAGUAGAGUGUUGCUGCUCUUUGACGCCUUCGGGUAAAGAGGACGACACUAAUUUGGGAACAGAGACUGCGGCUUGCUGCGGCUUCUGAACUUUUUCAAAUUGGACCUGAUAUCAGGCAAGACUACCCGCUGAACUUAAG
rnacentral:rRNA from 1 species